CAUUGCGAGGUCGCGCUGCCCAGGGACCCCCGGCGGCCUCCAAGGCCGGUGCUCCGUCUCCCCGCCCCCGACAGGAGGGGAAACUGAGGCCCGAGAUGGGGGGAGCUCCAGCCGCAGGUCACCUCGGAGCCCUUGUUCGCUCCCUGUUCUGAGCUCGUCCCCUCCGCUGCGUGUGGACCUUUCGGGACUCGUGUCCUAGACAAAGAGGCCUCGGGUCACCGCGCCACCGGCCGGCGCCGGUUCGGAGCGUCAGGUCCCCUGGCCUCACCCGCCCCGUGGGGAGACUUGUGCCCGCUGAUGUCGAGAGACAGGUCGGGUGACGUGUGGGCCCGAGGUCCUGCAGGGGGUCGUGCAGAGCCCGUGUGAACCUGGCCCGACGGGCGCCAGAACCCCUGAUUCACUGCCCAUCACCUCCGACUCCAGCGUUUCAGGCCCCAAAGCCGCUCGUCGGUUACCGGUCAAAUACUCUGGUGAGCGUUAGCCCAUUUCCCCCUAAUAAGCUUUAAGGGAAAGUGUUGAAACCUCCUUUUAACAAACGGGUGUUUGAGCUUUAAAGUGAGGGCGCCCCAGUCCCUUGGGCAAGUGCUGCUCCUGAGGGCCUUGAACUGGGGGCCGUGGCCUUCCUGCCAUGCGGCAGAGGGGGUGGUCCCUGGGCUCAGGGGGGUUCUGGGAACUGUCUUGCAAAGCCUUGUGCAGGAGAGUGGGGCUGGGUUUGGGGGCCAGAAAGGCCUGAGUUCAGAUGCUGACGCAGCCCCUCGUUAGCCGUGGAACCUCGGGUGAGUUACUCCAUUCUCCUGAGCUUUCCUUUCCUUCCAGGGGGGAAACAGCAAGCAGUCGGGAGAGCAGAGGCCUGGUCUGUGUCUUUGAACCCCCAGUGCCUGGCAAGUGGUUAGUAGGUACUUAGUUGGUAUUUUGUGGGUGGAGGAGUACUUGAGGCAUUUUUACGAGAAGUUGGUCUUCCUGUGGCCUCUGUUGAUGAGGGGAGAUGGAGUCUUUCCAUGAAGUGAGGAUAGUGUUGGGGUCCCGGGCUUGGCUGGGCAGCUUUCCCGUGCCUGGGCGGAGAGCCGGCUGCUGACACGGGCUCCUCUGCCUGGCUCUUCUUCUGCCCUUUGUUGCCCCUGCAUUCGGAAGUGAUCAUGGGCUGCCCGUGCCCUGGUCCCUGGUAGUGCCGGCAGAGGAGUUGCUGAAAGCGUUUCCCCGUGUUUGGAGGGUUCACUCCUGUCCCUUCCCAACUCUGGAGCUGUCCCACUCGGCCGUCCUCCCGCCGCCUUUACACAUGCUUCCUGGCCCCUGGUGUGCAGCUUACUGAGUGUUCCCUAUGCGAGGCCCAGUGCUAGUUGCAGAGAAGCUUUUAAAAAAGGAAGAUAAAGCAUGGGCUGUGUCUAAGGAGCUGUGGGCUGGCGGUGGAGCCACCGUUCGGGUAAUUUUCACCAAGGGCUUCCCUCCAGGAAGCCAGGUCUGCCUCCCCUCUCUCCCCUUUCCAGGUCCUUAGUCAAGCAUGUUUCCUGGUGUGAUGUAGUGUGGGAAGUGGCUUGAUGUGGGAUGAGGGCACUAAUCAUACUUCAUGGAAAUCGUUGGUUUUCUUGUUUUUUUGCCUCUCUGCUCUGAUCUCAAGGUCAGUGUGUGAGUUUUGCCUCUCCGCAGCCCCAGUGCCUGGCAGGUGUCCGGUGCUCAGCAACUGUGCAACAACUGCCCAGCAGGAAAGAAGGAAAGGACAGACGCAUCCCGGUGAGGUGGCGUGGCCCAUCAUGUCAUGGAGAAUCAGGGGAAGACUGCUUGUGACCCAGCCAGGGGAGAGAGGAGACCCUGGAGAUGUGUCCCCAUCCUGUCAAGAAGCGGCUGGACCACGUGCUGCUGAGAUGCGUCCACUGUGUGCAGAGGUGUCAUGGAAGUUGUCAUCAGGAGUGGUCUAGACCCCAGUGUCCUUGAGCUUGAAGGAAGACGAGGUAACGUUGGAGAGUUAUCCCUGGUCCUGACCUCCUGCCCCGUGGCCUCCUCGUCACUCUGCGGUGCUGCCUUGGAGGAAGCCUCAGGGAUGGAAGCUCUGGCCUCUCAGGAUGGUGACCUGGGUCCCAGCUCCCCUGGAAGGGCCUCCUCAUGGUUGUUCUGGGGCUGUUCACGGAUGCUGGCGUAGCAGAGUGAAGAGGGGUGUUGCCGCCGAUCAUCACCAGACCUCCUUCUCCUGUUGCCUUAGCACGGUAUGGAAGGGCUUUGUCCCUGUGAGCGGGGCAGAGGGCAAGUCCUGGGACUCUGGGGACUUGGGAUUCAGAACUGGAGACCUUCAGCUGGCUCUGCCCUUCCCAGCAGGUGCCACAGAGCACCGUGGACCCAGAAGUCUGCUUUCCUUCCGUCUGGACCAGGUCAUCCAGUGGCCUCCGUGUCCCCUUGUCUGCUCCUGGUGUAACUUUAGAAACAAGAGUUCCCAUUGGAGUCUUUUGUGCUGGGCAUCGUGUCCUCUAACCCACUUCAAUAAAUCUUGAAACUGCC